UGUUCACAAACCCCUGAAGCUAAUACCACUGACUGUUAAUUCAAAUAAACAAAGCAAGACUUUGUUAGAGACCAAAAGUGCAAAGAUAAAUUCAGCCAGCAGUACACCAGACCAACGAGAGACGAUUCUACAUAUGCUGAGUGCUCUUGAGGAGCUUCAUAGGUCACUGAACAAUACACUGAACAGCCGUCUCACCAUCAUAAAAAGAGGUAAUAGCAACAGUCGCAAUUCAGGAAAAAAGAAUAAAAUGCUCACAGAAGGUAACGUGAAAUCAACAACAGUGUCAUCUGUGGUCAGCAAAGGUGCUUCACCAAGGGCUAGCACUGACCAAG